GAAACGUUCCCUAAGGGAACGCAGGCUCAGUUCCAAGGCAAGACUGGAUAUGCAGGAGCAGUCAGCUGUUGGCUGCUUCACUCUGAAAUCCUUGUUUGUGAGUGUAACAUGUCUCACUCCUUCUCCUGUUUAACACAUGGCUGGUACCCCAUGGCAGCAGGAAAUGCCAACUUAACCCAGUUAAUGCAAAUGUGCUUUCUAAGCAGGGUCUGAGUGGUGGUAGCACCUGGGGACCUCAAAUGGGGAGCAGGACCCCGCUGUGCUAGGGGGUGGGCAAACAAGCCAGACUGUUCAUGCCCCAGAGAGCUCGUGGUCCAGCCACUGUGGGCACAUUCUGCACAAACCCUCCUGGCCAGGAGUAAAAUCCAUGCAGGUGCCUGAACAGCUGCUGUUUGCCAAGGUGGGAGGGGGCCAUCGUUCACCUGGGCUGAAGGUCCAAGCUCACGUGUGAGCUGCCCUGGGAAGGCCCAUGGCAGCUUACAACCAAGGCAUUGCCCCUGCCCUGGGGACAAGACUUACAUGUUACCAGGGGUGUUGUGGGGAACAAUCCAGUGCUCGCUGGCAUGGAACAGCAUAGAAUCCCUAAGGCCCAUCAAGCACAUGACAGUGGCAGAUCCCAGGGGAUGCCAUGGGGGUCCUAUUUAGAGCUGCUUUCAGAGCUGGGUAACCUGGACUAAGGUGGGGACAUGCUGACAAGUCUCAUCUAGCUGCAUGUGGGGUGGGGCUUAUGGAGGCAGGUCCUGAGAUGCAGGCAUGUCCUAUGGAUAUCGGGCAGCCUGACAUGGGCCAUGCUGGCUGCUCACCCUGGUGUAUGUGUACUAACUCCUCUCCAUUUUCAUCUCAUUGAUCAGUGUUGGUGAGACAGGCCGGGAUAGAAACCAGCCAAUGCAGGCCAUGAGCACCACAGCAGCGUGGACUCCGAAGGGUCUCUCCUGGAGAAAUGGAAUCGCUAUCCCAGGACUAGCACUCCUAUACCAGCAUAACUGCCUCAACACGAGGGUGCAUCAUUUUAACUGUAUUGGUGGCUCAACCCUUCGAUGCCUUGGCUUCUGACUCUGGAAACAUGGUCUUCAGCUUCUGUCACCUUGGCAUAACUCAGGGAGAAGCCAAUGGAAAGCAGCAACUCAGUUACAAAAGGACUCUGUUACUACAACGACAAAAGGAGCAGCAACAAAGAGUUUUAAUUCUCCACUGCCUCAUGAGAUCUUCCCUCUUUCCCUUAAUAUGGUAGAGAGCUUAUCAGAUUUGCUGUCCUAGAUUCACUUUAGAUCUCUUUGGUUUUACUGCUUUCCACAUAGCUCCUCCCACUGAACAGUUGGGUUGCAGACCUUCCACUCAGAUGUAUUAACUUGUGUUUAUUUAUAUUGCUUCCUGCAUAUAUUUCUAAUUCUACAUACAAGUCUCUGUUUUGUUCCUCUAGACCCACUGCUCUUUGCAACACCUCCUAAUCAGUGUUGGCAUCAUAACAAGGAGGACCCCAAGCUAAUGGAAGGAGAUUGGCAAGGAAAAACACCCCCAAAAACAAAGGCCUGAGUUUCCCUCUUUAGCAGUACCACUGCCAGAAGAGGUUUGGGGUAGGAUUUCUAGUAGUAAAUUGUUUCCUCACUCUCUGGUUUCACUGGUGCAAGGAAGACUGGGUUGAGAAGUUCAUCUUUUCUUUCCCCCACUGAAUACCAUUCCUGAGAGGGAUACAGGACCAUCCUGUGAAAUGCAGAACUUGCACGGGACACAGGACCCCCAGAAGACCUUGCUUAGCUAGUGCUCAAGCAAGGCCUAGUUUUAAUUUGGCAUCAUUUGAGUAUAUUUAUCUCUUCUGGUUAUACAAGUACAAAGUUUCCCAGAGAUCUUAAAUGUUAAAAGUUAACAUACAAAUAAAAGCCAGGGAGAAACGUAAGGGAUAUUUAUUUAGUUUAAAGACCAUCAAUUGUUUUCAUUUCUAUUACUACACCAGUCAUAUUACAUUUUGGCCACAAAUGAUUGUCAUUUGUUGGCUGGUUCAUCCUUGAAUUAUUUCUUCAUUCAUCACUAAUAAACAAAUAUUUUACUUAAAAGAAUACAAGUAUGAAACACUGAGUGGAGAGCAACAAGUUACAAUGAAGUAAUGCAUUGGUGGCAGCCUGUUAAACUCACAAGAAAAAGAUUUAAAUGAUUUAGGAUACUGCAGCAAAACCAAAUGACAAUCAUUCUCAAUUUCUGUAUAGUAUCUGGAGAUGUUUUACAGGUUCAGUGCAGGAUGAGGUAGUCAUUUAUGAUCAUUCAGUGGCAGAGGCAGGUUGAAGUGUAAUAAAUGCUCUUAGUGGUAAUAAGAACAGAUCAUGAACGAGAGUGAAAUUCAAGUUCUAAAUAGCACUUAACAGACAAAAGAGACUCUUGGUUUUUAGAUCUAUAUAUUACCAGAUUGAAUGUAACAGGAAUUUCACAUAGCACAAAGAUCUAAUCCUGGAUACAGAAAUUUACAGACUGGUUUGUCAAACUUUGGUGGUUUGCUAAUAGCUGGCCAGUCAUAUGGUGCUGGCUUCUUCCGCCUUACUCCAGAGUCCAAACAAGUUGUGGUGCAUCAAAACUUCCUGACCCCAUUACUGGAUUUGGCUUUAGUCACAAAAGGACCUCCACAAAAUCCUGCCCAAGCUAUGCUUCAAGGCUUGGCUUCUCCUCUCCUAAGCUCCUCUCUGCAAGGACUGUUCAGCUACACCAUACA